UACGUAGGGAGCAAGCGUUGUCCGGAAUCAUUGGGCGUAAAGCGCGCGUAGGCGGCCCCGUAAGUCCGCUGUGAAAGUCAAAGGCUCAACCUUUGAAAGCCGGUGGAUACUGUGGGGCUAGAGUCCGGAAGAGGCGAGUGGAAUUCCUGGUGUAGCGGUGGAAAUGCGCAGAUAUCAGGAGGAACACCGGUGGCGAAGGCGGGUCUCUGGGCCGAUGAUUGACGCUGAGGAGCGAAAGCGUGGGGAGCAAACAGG
rnacentral:rRNA from 1 species